ACAACCUGCCGGAUUCUAUCUGUAUAACGCUAGUAUGAAAGUACCUUCACAUAUUAGGAAUCAUCGACUGGUUACCAAUACAAAAAAUGUCCUAAAUUUGGCAAAUAGGCCAUGCUGGUGAUUCUGCAGUCAUAAGGCAAGGGAGAUUGAACUGAAAAGUAGGAGGCCAUGAUGUGCCUCCUUUCAAGCUUGUCCACAGAUUUAUCGGAUUAAUAAUGCAGGCUAUGGUAUGGUAUUUGGCAUAAAUGGUGCCAAGAUGAUUUCCCUCCCCAGCUGGUUGUAUGGUGCCUGUUGAGCUUUAAUGGGAUUGGGUAGCUUAGAAAAUCCUAUGUCAUACACUCUAUUAGAGAAUCAUGAGUUAAAGGGGUACUCCUCCCUCAUGAGGAUUUUUUUUUUUUUUAACCUUCUUCUGGAUCAACUUUGCUGGUUAACAGGCUGAACUAGAUGGACGUAUGUAUUUUUUCAGGCUUUCCGACUCCCGCCACCCCCACGAUCAGCCCGGACAAGCGCUGCAGAGUAUUCCAAGCACAGCGCCGUACAUUAUAUAGUGGCUGUGCUUGGUAUUGAAGCUCAGUCUCAUUCACUUGAAUGGGACUGAGCUGCACAAAGGCUAUGCGACAGAGGAACCGGAUGUUACAGGUUGAGAAGGAGGCUGCAGGCCCCUUUAAACAGCUGAUCGGCAGGGGUGCUGGAAGUCAGACCCCCACCGAUGACUUCUACUGUGAAGUCAUCAGUACUAAGCCUGUCCUUUAACAAACUCCGCCACAAUAUGAUCAAGGCCACUGAUCACAGUAGAAGAGUGCCAUCUAGUGGGCAUAACUGUGUGAUAUCCUGGAUUGUCUGCAUUGAUCCGUGAAGGCAUUUAUUAUGUGCACAGUAGACCAACUUCUGCAUUAUGUCACAUCUGGGAGACAAACAGUACGCCACAUUUACAGCUUCAGUGCUGCUAAAAAACAACUGCCUGCAAUUUAAAGGAUGACGCAGGUAAGGUCUAUGAGCCGAGCACAAUGGCGACUAUUCCGCAUGCUGCGAUACGGUGUCUGCAACGCCCGCCCACAGCCUACAACACGGAUGUCUACAAAGUUUACAAAUACAAAAGGUUGAGAAAGCUUGUAAAAAUGGUGACUUGUCUUGGUACUGAUGCCAAAUUACAACCCAUUUGGUAGCCCAGA